rnacentral:rRNA from 1 species
GUCUUUUUGAUAAUAAUUUAAAGUCUAACCUGCUCAAUGAUGAUUUAAAUUGCCGCAGUAUCCUGACUGUGCAAAGGUAGCAUAAUAAUUAGUUUUUUUAUUGAAAGCUGGAAUGAAUGGUUGGACAAGAAAAUAACUGUCUCUCUAUUAUUUAUUUUUGAAUUUAAUUUUUAAGUUAAAAAGCUUAAAUUUUUUUAAAAGACGAGAAGACCCUAUAGAGUUUUAUUAUUUUUAUAAUUUUUAUUUUUAGGAAUUUAAAGUUUAAAUUAUUAAAUUAAUUUGGUUGGGGUGACUAAAAGAUUAAUUAAACUCUUUUAAUUUAAAAUCAUUGAUUUGUGAAUUAUUAAUCUAUAUUUUUAAAUAUAAAAUAAAUUACCUUAGGGAUAACAGCGUUAUUUCUUUUUAGAGUUCUUAUUGAAAAAGAAGUUUGCGACCUCGAUGUUGGAUUAAAAUUUAUUUUAGGUGUAGAAGCUUAAAAAUUAAGUCUGUUCGACUUUUGAAAUUUU